UUCCGGUUGAUCCUGCCGGAGGUCACUGCUAUUGGGAUUCGAUUAAGCCAUGCGAGUCGAGAGGGUUCGGCCCUCGGCAGACUGCUCAGUAACACGUGGAUAAUCUGCCCUAAGGUGGAGGAUAAUCUCGGGAAACUGAGAAUAAUAAUCCAUAGGUCUAGGAUACUGGAAUGUACUUAGACUAAAAGCUCCGGCGCCUUAGGAUGAAUCUGCGGACUAUCAGGUAGUAGUCAGGAUAAAGACCUGACUAGCCAACGACGGAUACGGGUUGUGAGAGCAAUAACCCGGAGACGAUAUCUGAGACACGAUAUCGGGCCCUACGGGGCGCAGCAGGCGCGAAACCUUCACACUGUGCGAAAGCACGAUGAGGGGAUCCCAAGUGCUUGCACGUAAGUGUAAGCUGUUUCUUUGUUUAAAAUGCAUAGAGAGUAAGGGCUGGGUAAGACGGGUGCCAGCCGCCGCGGUAAUACCUGCAGCUCAAGUGGUGACCCCUAUUAUUGGGGCUAAAACGUCCGUAGCCGGUUUGGUAAAUGCCUGGGUAAAUCGUGUAGCUUAACUAUACGAAUUCCGGGUAGACUGCUAAACUUGAGACCGGGAGAAGCUAGAGGUACUCCUGGGGUAGAGGUGAAAUUCUGUAAUCCUGGGGGGACCACCAGUGGCGAAGGCGUCUAACUAGAACGGGUCUGACGGUGAGGGACGAAGCCCUGGGGCGCAAACGGGAUUAGAUACCCCGGUAGUCCAGGGUGUAAACGCUGCUUGCUUGAUGUUAGGGGGGCUCCGAGCCCGCCUAGUGCCGGAGAGAAGUUGUUAAGCAAGCUGCCUGGGAAGUACGAUCGCAAGAUUGAAACUUAAAGGAAUUGGCGGGGGAGCAC
rnacentral:rRNA from 1 species